rnacentral:rRNA from 1 species
UACGUAGGAUGCAAGCGUUGUCCGGAAUUAUUGGGCGUAAAGAGCGCGCAGGCGGUAUGACAAGUCAGAUGUGAAAGAGGCCGGCUUAACCGGCAAGGGUCAUUUGAAACUGUCAGACUAGAGUGCAGCAGAGGAUAGUGGAAUUCCCGGUGUAGUGGUGAAAUGCGUAGAUAUCGGGAGGAACACCAGUGGCGAAGGCGACUAUCUGGGCUGACACUGACGCUGACAGCGCGAAAGCUAGGGGAGCGAACGGG